CAUAUAUAAAAUCGACUUAUUCUCUCUCAACGGCAACCUACAUCCGCGCAUUACUAGUCGCACGAGCUUAUUACGGUAAAUCAGCUGUUUCGAUUCCUCUCGGUACAAGAGUCGAUACAUCUGAAGCAUUUCAUACGGAUUCAUUAUCCAGAGCUCUAGUAUUUUGCUUCUUAUUAUAUAUCUAGAGACACACAAUUAUUAAAUCUGGAAAUAUAUUCUUAUCGGAACAAAGUCCGCACGAUCAUCAUCAAAACUUAGUUUGAAAAAAAUCCUAGAAAAUUCUUGCUAAAGAAAUAACAUUCAAUAUAUAAUAUAAUAUAUAUCUUGCAUGCAUACGUGCGUAUCUCCGAUGAACCGCGGGAAUAGUUGGCGAAUACAGACACUCGAGGGUCAACAAGUAAGACAGAGGUUUAGUUUCUCACUUUCAUCGCGUUACAGUGAUGUCAUUCUCGUUUAUCGCGCUGAUGUCAAUGUAAUAAUUACGGCGAACGAUAACGAUAAGAAGAGCAGCGUUCGAAGAAGGCAGGCGAUUGCGUGGAAAAUAAGCACGUUCUUGAUAUACACACGUUGGAAGUGAUGACUGCAAAUAUUUGCGUGAUUCAUAGGAAAUGAUUACGCGUUACUAUAAAAGGAUCAUUGUAUUGCGCGAAUAAUUAUAUAAUAUCGUAUAUGUAUCGUGCAAUCGUGCUAUUUUUAUAAUAAAUGUAUACAAUAUCUUUCAAUUUCGAACUUUUAUCCAAGAAAUUAAACAAACACAAAUACAUUUUUUUCCUUAUUUGAUUUAUCAUUUCUCAUGACAUCAUUAUUCAUAUCACGCAUUACUUCGCUGCGGACAAUAGCGUGUCAUUAGCGAAAGGAAACCGCAAUUGCCAGAAAGAAUAAUUAUGAUGCAACGUUGCAGAUUUACGCUC